UUUUUUUUUUUUGGUUUGUUAGGUUUCGAGAAUGAUAUUGUUGACUUGUUUGAUAUAUAGGUAAUAGGUUUUGCGGUCUAGAGUUAUACUUAAAUAAACUAACAAAAGUGUUAUUUUAUUCCAAAUUGUGAACUAUAUGUACUUGCAAUUUGAUUCCAUUGAUAUAUACAAUAGACUUCUACAAUGUUAUAUAUGAUUGGUUGGUUUUGGCUUCUUCUCGCCUCCCUCAUGCUCAAAUCCUGGCUCCGCCCCUGAUGAGCAUCCUCGCACCGCUUCCCGGCAGAGAGCUCAAGCUGUGCGUCAGUUUUUACGCCGACGACGCACUCAUCUUCGCAAAACCUGACAGACAAGAAAUCGACAAGCUGCUACAGAUUUUGAAACAGUUUGGGGACACCUCGGAACACACGUAGCUCCGAGGUGCCGCAUCGGUCUGUCGCGUGCUUCUACAGUUUCUUUGGCUUUUCAGUUUUUCGUUUUCCUCAGUUUUCAGUCUGAGCCUGAACCCCAACCCAUGAUAGUUUGAUCAUGGCGAUUUGUUUUCCCGCCCUCUAUCUGCUAUACUAGUAACAUUGAAAGCCAGCGGUUGCUUGAUCUCUGUAAAAUAAAAAGUCAUAUUUAUACUAGUCCAGCAAAGAAUCUUGUCCUGGCAAUAGAGUCCUGCGAGUAUAUUUCUGUCCGCAAUGGACACGAUUGAGAUGACGCUCGCUGCAGCAAGGCGUCGGACCUUUGGGUCUGCGCCAUCCCCUCUCGAUUGGAUGUCCCCGGUCAAUUCCUGAGGCAGAUAAACACGUCGCUCUGCUUUUUGGCAUCUUUCACGAGCAAAGCCCGGCAAAUUUGAUAAAUUUGACCUGAGGACGAAAUCAAAAUCACAGAAUAAACUGUCCGUGAAACUAUUUCACGCAGCUGACCUUUUUGUGUGACGCCCGACACGAAGGCGCCACAUUACACUGUGCAACGCCUCACAGAUAGGCGUUACUGUGAGGCGUUGCACAGUGUAGUGUGGCGCCUUCGUGUCGGACGUCACACAAAAAAGUCAGCCGCGUCAUUCUGUAAUUUGAUUUCAUCCAUAGAUCAAAUUUGUCGAUUUUGCUGCAAAGCCCGCCCGUCGUCGUCUACAGGCCGGGGCCGGGGCUGGCAGAAGGGACAGGACAAGAAGCACGCAGCGCCUGAGAUUUCACUCGGCGGACCGGGGUUUCUGUGAGUUGGACGAGGUGCUGCACGCUGCCACUUUCGGCACCAAAGUAUAAAAGCGCAGCCGCCCCGAUUCCGGCGUACGUACGCACCGUGGCUGCAGCUCCGGCCACUGCCACCCAACAUCGGUAUGCUGCAUCGGCUUCUCCAAGGCAUCGCUGCGUCACGGGUUACGACAGAGGCAGCACUCAGCUCAGCCGAUGCAUGUAAUACCAUCUCCUUGCGUCGUCUCUUCCGCCCGACGCGCCCAUGCACCGCGACGCGAGGCGCACAUCCAGUUAUCCACCGCUCUAUCUACACAACACCGUAGGCAUCGGCGCACGUCCCAGGUUCAGUAAUAGUACAUGGCAUAUAGUAAGUGGCAAAGGUUCAGUGCAUGCUAGCAUUGAAAAUCUCCUACGUCGUGGCAUGCAUGCAUGCAUGCACGUCAAAGAGUCUCACAUUGCGGCAAAAUUGUCGGCACCUCCCAGACAAGUUAAGGCGCCAACCAUGCAACGACAUGCAUCGCACCCCCACCCUCGCAUCGCAGGGGUCGGCCGAUCACAACACGGCCUCCCCCUCAAGCUUUAUCAUCGGUCCUCCUGCACCACCGUGCAUGUGGGCAUGUUGCCCUAGCUAGCUACCUACUACGUCCCUGCGCUGCGUGCUAUGCUAGCCACUCACUCACUCAG
rnacentral:lncRNA from 1 species